rnacentral:rRNA from 1 species
GACGAACGCUGGCGGCGUGCUUAACACAUGCAAGUCGAACGGAAACGCCCUGCUUCUGUGUGGUGCUCGAGUGGCGAACGGGUGAGUAACACGUGAGUAACCUGCCCCUGACUUUGGGAUAACUACAGGUAACUGGGGCUAAUACUGGAUAGUAGCUCCGGCUGCACGGUGGGGGGUGGAAAGUUUCGGCGGUUCGGGAUGGACUCGCGGCUUAUCAGCGUGUUGGUGGGGUAGUGGCUUACCACGGCGUUGACGGGUAGCCGGCAUGAGAGGGUGAACGGGCACAUUGGGACUGAGAUACGGCCCAGACGCCUACAGGAGGCAGCAGUGGGGAAUCUUGCACAGUGGGCGGAAGCGUAUUGCAGCAACCCCGGGUUCGUGAAGACGGCCUUGGGGUUGGAAACCGAUUUCGGCUAAGACGAAGCGUGAGUGACGGUACUGGGUAAAGAAGCACCGGCUAACUACGUG